CACGACUUUUUUAUCAUUCACACAAUUCAAUCAAAUUUCAUAGGUUUAACUACAACAACAUUUUCAUCAUUCACAAAAUUCAAUAAACUUUCAUGGGUUUAACCUAAAAUUUUUCAGCAUUCACAUAAUUCAAUUAAAUUUCAUAGGUUUAACAACGACAAGUUCAUCAUUCCCAUAAUUCAAUCCAUUUUUAUGGGUUUAAAAGCAACAUUUUCAUCAUUUACACAAUUCAAUCAAAUUAUACUGGUUUAAUAACAAUAUUUUCAUCAUUCACACAAUUCAGUCGAAUUUCAUGGGUUUAACAUCAGCAUUUUCAUCAUAACCACAACUCAAUCAAAUUUCAUGGGUUAACAACAACAUUUUCAUCAUAUCCUCAAUUCAAUCAAAUUUCAUGGGUUAAUAACAACAUUUUCAUCAUUCCCAUAAUUCAAUCAAAUUGCAUGGGUUUAACGGUAAAAUUUCAAUCAUUUACACAAUAAAAUCAAAUUUCAUGGGUUUAACUAAGACAUUUUCAUCAUUCACACAAUUCAAUAAAAUUUCAUGGGUUUAACCUAAACAUUUUCAUCAUACACCCAAUUCAAUCAUAUUUCAUGGGUUUAACAACAACAUUUUUAUCAUUUACACAAUUCAAUCGAAUUUCAUGGGUUUAACAACAAUAUUUUCAUCAUUCACACAAUUCAAUCAAAUUUCAUGGGUAUAAAAAUAACAUUUUCAUCAUUCACACAAUUCAAUCAAAUUAUACUGGUUUAAUAACAACAUUUUCAUCAUUCACACAAUUCAAUCGAAUUUCAUGGGUUUAACAUCAGCAUUUUCAUCAUUACCAUAACUCAAUCAAAUUUCAUGGGUUAACAACAACAUUUUCAUCAUUCCCUCAAUUCAAUCAAAUUUCAUGAGUUAACACUAACAUUUUCAUCAUUCCCACAAUUCAAUCAAAUUGCAUGGGUGUAACGGUAACAUGUCAAUCAUUUACACAAUAAAAUCAAAUUUCAUGGGUUUAACUACGAUAUUUUCAUCAUUCACACAAUUCAAUCAAAUUUCAUGGGUUUAUCAUCAAAAUUUUCAUAAUUUCCAUAAUUCAAUUUAUUUUCAUGGGUUUAACAACAACAUUUUCAUCAUUCACACAAUUCAAUCAAACUUCAUAGGUUUAACAAUAAGAUUUUCAUCCUUCACACAAUUCAAUAAAAUUUCAUGGGUUUAACCUAAACAUUUUAAUCAUUCACACAAUUCAAUCAAAUUUCAUGGGUUUAACUGCAACAUUUUCAUCAUUCCCACAACUCAAUCAAAUUUCAUGGGUUUAACAUCAACAUUUUCAUUGUUCACACAAUUCAAUCAAUUUUCAUGGGUUUAACCUCAACAUUUUCGUCCCUCACAUAAUUCAAUCAAAUUUCAUGGGUUUAACAUCAACAUUUUCAUUGUUCACACAAUUCUAUCAAUUUUCAUGGGUUUAACCUCAACAUUUUCAUCACUCACAUACUUCAAUCAAAUUUCAUGGGUUUAACAACGACUUUUUUAUUAUUCACACAAUUCAAUCAAAUUUCAUAGGUUUAACAACAACAUUUUCAUCAUUCACAAAAUUCAAUAAACUUUCAUGGGUUUAACCUAAAAUUUUUCAGCAUUCACAUAAUUCAAUUAAAUUUCAUGAUCAAUCAAAUUUCAUAGGUUUAACAACAACAUUUUCAUCAUUCACAAAAUUCAAUAAACUUUCAUGGGUUUAACCUAAAAUUUUUCAGCAUUCACAUAAUUCAAUUAAAUUUCAUGGGUUUAACAACAACAAGUUCAUCAUUCCCAUAAUUCAAUCAAUUUUUAUGGGUUUAAAAUCAACAUUUUCAUCAUUCACAGAAUUCAAUCAAAUUAUACUGGUUUAAUAACAACAUUUUCAUCAUUCACACAAUUCAAUCGAAUUUCAUGGGUUUAACAUCAGCAUUUUCAUCAUUACCACAACUCAAUCAAAUUUCAUGGGUUAACAAUAACAUUUUCAUCAUUCCCUCAAUUCAAUCAAAUUUCAUGAGUUAACACUAACAUUUUCAUCAUUCCCACAAUUCAAUCAAAUUGCAUGGGUGUAACGGUAACAUUUCAAUCAUUUACACAAUAAAAUCAAAUUUCAUGGGUUUAACUACGAUAUUUUCAUCAUACACCCAAUUCAAUCAUAUUUCAUGGGUUUAACAACAACAUUUUUAUCAUUUACACAAUUCAAUCGAAUUUCAUGGGUUUAAUAAAACAUUUUUAUCGUUACCACAAUUCAAUCAAAUUUCAUGGGUUUAACAACACAUUUUCAUCAUUCCCAUAAUUCAAUUUAUUUUCAUGGGUUUAACAACAACAUUUUCAU
rnacentral:lncRNA from 1 species